rnacentral:rRNA from 1 species
UACGUAGGGGGCUAGCGUUAUCCGGAAUUACUGGGCGUAAAGGGUGCGUAGGUGGUUUCUUAAGUCAGAGGUGAAAGGCUACGGCUCAACCGUAGUAAGCCUUUGAAACUGGGAAACUUGAGUGCAGGAGAGGAGAGUGGAAUUCCUAGUGUAGCGAUGAAAUGCGUAGAUAUUAGGAGGAACACCAGUUGCGAAGGCGGCUCUCUGGACUGUAACUGACACUGAGGCACGAAAGCGUGGGGAGCAAACAGG